GGAUACAUUAGUAGUUAACAAUGUGAUCGAUUCAUGGGCAGUACUUCUGAAUCAAAAAAGGUCAAAGAACAAGUUAUACUUUUCAACAUUUCCACAUCAAAUUAUGUAUGCAAAUACAGUGUGUCCUGAAGGAUCAUCAAUGGAGCUUAGAAUUGCAUACUUCAAAGAAAGAAUAACAAAUGAAUUGAGGUUAUACAAAAUCAAGAGUGCAGUUGGAUAUCAACAGAUUUUUUUUCCAGUGGCCAUAUAUGCACAUUUCUAUCUUCUAUGCAUUGAUCAUAUCAAUGAGACAAUGCAUAUAAUUGAC